AUCCGGCUGCCGCAUCCAAAAUAGGAUGAAAUGCGCGUCCUGGAU
rnacentral:hammerhead_ribozyme from 1 species